AUACUUACCUGGCAGGGGAGAUACCGUGAUCACAAAGGUGGUUUUCCCAGGGCGAGGUUUAUUCAUUGCACCAGAUAUACUGACCCCUGUGAUUUCCUGGGGAAACCUGACUGCAUAAUUUGUGGUAGUGAGGGACUGCAUUUGCGCUUUCCCCCU
rfam:Tupaia chinensis contig9045, whole genome shotgun sequence.